GACGAACGCUGGCGGCGUGCUUAACACAUGCAAGUCGCACGAAGUGGCGAACGGGUGAGUAACGAGUAAUCAACCUGCCCUUGAGAGGGGGACAACAGUUGGAAACGACUGCUAAUACCGCAUACUGAAGGGGGGGAUUUCGUGUGAUUGGCUAGUUGGCGGGGUAACGGCCCAACAAGGCGAUGAUCAGGAGCCGGUCUGAUGGGGUGAACGGCCACAUUGGGACUGAGACACGGCCCAGACUCCUACGGGAGGCAGCAGUGGGGAAUCUUCCGCAAUGGACGAAAGUCUGACGGAGCAACGCCGCGUGAGUGAUGACGGCCUUCGGGUUGUAAAGCUCUGUUAAUCGGGACGCGGUACCGGAAUAGAAAGCCACGGCUAACUACGUGCCAGCAGCCGCGGUAAUUC
rnacentral:rRNA from 1 species